CCAAUAGCGUAUAUUAGUGUUGUUGCGGUUAAAAAGCUCGUAGUUGAAUUUCGGGAUUGGGAUAUAUCGGUCAUGACUUUAGGGACAUGAAUCGGUGUGUGAUCAAUUCUCACCUUCUGGUGAAUUGGGAUGCUCUUGGGUGUUUCGAUGAACUAGGACAUUUACUUUGAAAAAAUUAGAGUGUUUAAAGCGGGCAUUUUUGCUUGAAUACAUUAGCAUGGAAUAAUAGAAUAGGACGGCAUGGUUCUAUUUUGUUGGUUUCUAGGAUCACCGUAAUGAUUAAUAGGGAUAGUUGGGGGCAUUAGUAUUCAAUUGUCAGAGGUGAAAUUCUUGGAUUUAUUGAAGACUAACUACUGCGAAAGCAUUUGCCAAGGAUGUUUUCAUUAAUCAAGAACGAAAGUUAGGGGAUCGAAGACGAUCAGAUACCGUCGUAGUCUUAACCAUAAACUAUGCCGACUAGGAAUCAGACGAUGUUAAUUUUUUAAUGACUCGUUUGGCACCUUACG
rnacentral:rRNA from 1 species